rnacentral:rRNA from 1 species
UACGGAGGGUGCAAGCGUUGUCCGGAUUUAUUGGGUUUAAAGGGUGCGUAGGCGGGUAAUUAAGUCAGUGGUGAAAGCCCACAGCUCAACUGUGGAACCGCCAUUGAUACUGGUUAUCUUGAGUGUAGUUGAGGCAGGCGGAAUUUACGAUGUAGCGGUGAAACGCAUAGAUAUCGUAAAGAACACCUAUAGCGAAGGCAGCUUGCUAAGCUACUACUGACGCUGAGGCACGAAAGCAUGGGGAGCGAACAGG